CAACCAUAUAAUCAACUAUUUCUACAGCUACAGUCACUGCCAGCCAUAUCAUAGCACUGAAAAAAGAACACAUAUUUUAAGCUUUUUUUUAAGUACAACAGAAGAUUUGACGAUAUUUGUAUUUUAAUCAUAUAGCGUGACGUUUUACUACAAGGAGAUACAAUGCAUUUUACAUUACAAAAGCGAAAUAAGACGUGGAUGCCAGCUAUCAACUUGAGCAUCGUGGGAUUGGUGGUUUAUAGUAUGGCCUGCCCUGUGUCCAGUAUGGAUGUCCUGGUCCAUAACCAGAUCAACGUCCUGAAUGGCACCAUGGUGAGGAUCCAGUGCAUCUUCACCUCCUGCUACAAGAUGGACGUCAACAAGUUUGCCAUGAACUGGACCUACCAGGAGAACACCAACGAGACUGAGGAGAUGUUCAUGACCUAUAAGAAGGGGAUGAUGCCCCUGCGGACAGACCGGUUCAGUGACCGGGUGCAGUUUGUGGGUAACCUGGAAAAGAACGACUUGUCCAUCACCCUCUCUGAUGUCCAGCUGUCGGACGAGGGCGUCUAUAACUGCUACGUCCGUAACCCCCCCGACCGCAUCCAGGGCCACGGAAUCAUCAACAUGUUUGUCGUCACAGAAUUGCCUCCCCCGCGGGACUCGACCAUAGCGGUUGCGAUCGGGGCGUCAGUCGGCGGUGCGCUGGCUCUGCUCAUCCUGUCCAUGGUGGUGGUGAAGUGUAUACGGCGUCACAAGAAACAGGAGCUCAUCUCUGACGAGCAGAAGAUGGAGGAAGAGGGCAAGCUGGAUGCAGAGGGGGGCCCCGAGGAGGGAACCAAGCAGCUAUAACCGGCCUGCAUGGUCCUGGAGGCCCAAGGUUCGCUGGAGCCCAACCUCCUCCCUCACGCUGGAAAGCAUUCCUGCCUGAAGAUGUAUAGUGACCCUUGCUUGAAUCCUCGUCCAGCAUCUGCCUCAGCCCACGCCGCCUCCUUUCCUUCCUCUAUGGGAAGCCCCAGCCACCAGCCACGCCACCCACACCACCCCUGCCUCUAUCUUCAGUCAGUCUUAUCUCCUAUCUUCUUCGACGGGGGGCCACAAAAGGUGUAGGCGACUAGUAGACGGCAGUCUCCAAACGACAUUCCUCUUUCCCCUUUUUCUCGCUUGUGGUUUAGCUUAAGAUAGAGAUGUAAGACCUUAAUUUGAUCCCCCUGUAGCAGCAUAACUUUCCUACAAUGCAGUAUGUUUAAAAUGUGUAUUGUAUUGGAGGUUUUAAAAGGCUUCUGAAGUUUUCACUAAUGGAAAAUGCAUCAACUCUUAGAAAAAUAUAAAUUCACUCUAAUCCACAUAAUCAUUCACAUUUCCUGUUGCUGCAGGACUAUUUUCCUGCUGUAGAAAACUGGCUCAAAUUAAGAUCCUACAUCUGUAGAGUAAAUGGAUGGUUUGACAUCCGUGAUUACUGGGAAAGAUCCUGCUCUCUCUUUCUGUCACUCUCUCUCUCUCUCUCUCUCUCUCUCUCUCGCUUUCUCUGUAUCACUCUCUUAAAUUGUUGUCUUCUAACUUGCCACACCAUUGGAUAACAAAUGAUUUACUUCCAAAUCAUAUAAUUCUCUCUCGCUCUCGCUUGCUCUCGCUCGCUCACUCUCUCUCGCUCUAAUUUUCUUGCUCUAUCACAUUACUUAGCGAUGCAUAAUGGCUGGGGCAAAAAAGUUCCCUUUUUUUCUGACAGCUCGUGUGUGUGUGUCCAAAUUCUACCUUUCUGUGUGAGAAUGCUGUGGGUGGAUUUUUGGCUGUGUGUGUUAGUUUUUAUGUACAGGGUAUAAGCUGAAUGACCUUCAGACGUAACUACGAGCAGUGUGGGUGUAUACACAUGUGUGAAUAUGUGUGUGUUUGUGUGUGUGUGUGUGUGUGUGUAUUUGAGAAUGUGUUUUAGUGUCCUUAGUGUCCGAGUGUCUUUCCUUCAAACUCAGAGUCUCCCUUAAUGGAGAAGCCAGGCAUGAUUUUAUCAGUAGUCAACUCUUCUGAACCCUUGCUUCAAUAUGAUAUUUUAGCCUGUGUUGCUUGCUCAUACAUCGAAACAACACACAUGUGUAUCGCUAUGAAUGAAGCUAGUACAAUAUCAUACAUAAGCAUGGCAUUUUUUUGCACACAUUAAGACAGGCACAAUUCUGUCUACAGUGGAUGGAUCGUUAAUGGUCUGACAUUAUAUACUAACUGACAUUGUACAAAAAACCCAAUCCCCAAAUGAUGUCCCCCUUUUGUCCACGUGCAGUAACCCUUACACAACACCUGAAUGUCCGGCCCUAGUUGGUCGUUGACACUCAAAUGAGCACACAGACACAUUGACUAUACGUGAUCCAACACAUAAGCUUCAAACACCACAUACAGCCGUGUAGCUGUUUUGCACACCAGAAGUCCACACGCCGAGGCCUACACAUACAUAAAAGCUGAGCACUUUCAGGGAAAACAGAAAAAAAAAGUACAAUAGAGAAAAAUUUAUAUCGGAUACAUAUAUUUAUACGUUUUGACCAAAUACCAAGCGGUACUCUAGAGGUGUGCUUUGAUUGUUGUCGCUAUUUACGUGUGGUCCUCACUGUCUUAAACUAUCAAUGUUGGAAUGUAUGAGGCCUCUCUCCUCUGAGGUAAUUGAUCUUGGAUGUUCUUUGGAUGUUACAUAUUUAGCUAUAUUAGUAUUGCACUGGUUGUGAAUGUAUUUGGGAGACAACGUGAGAUGUCCAAGUGGACGUAGCAACUACUUAAUGAAAUGAAUAUACAAUCAAUCAUUCCACUUCUCGCACAUUGAAUUUGAAACUACCCUCACAGAUGUAGGGCUUACGUUACAUUAUCACACAAGUUUUGUAAUGUAUGUAAGUCUGUGAAGGAUCACACAAAGUAUAAACUGUGGAUUUGCUAAACAAUAUCACAACCUUAAAAUAGUAACAUUUAUUUAUUUUAGUGAAAAUUUGUCAAAUGUUACCUUCAUUUGCUCCUUGUGUUUAAACGUCUUGGCUUUGUAUUUUCCAACAGACAGUGUUGAGGGAGCAGAUAGCCUAUGGGAGUGUGACUUUAGGUUGGCAGAAUAUGACUGGGUGCCUCUGGUGUUGUCUGAUGUGGUUUUAAGGCCUAAAGCCGGGGGCCACGCUGAUUCUGUGCCCAGGAGUGCCCUACCUCAUCUGGAGACAGUCUGUCCCUGUCUCUGCAAUGGGCACUGCGUUCAUAGUCUGCCUUUACGUUAUUCACUGCUGAAGCUUCUUUCUUGCACACUUUGUUUCUUAUUAUUUAUCUCCUCAGAUCCGUCCUAGUUUAGAUUUCAUUUGAUUGAGUAUUGUAUUUUGACAUUGUUGAAUUUUGUACCACGCAGUUAUGUAAUUUGUACUUUAUGAUGUGACUUUGUGGUUGUCCUAGCUGUUGACGUUCUGGUAGCCAUCAUUACUUGGUCUUUGGUAAGUUGGCCUAAGUUUGGGGAGCUCACGUCUGAAAGAUCAUUAAUUUAACAGUGGAAGGUACAUGCUGAUCUCCACUUGUAGGGUUUACACGCUCCCUUUCUAGAAUGACUUCAUUACUAAUUACUAUAUGAAUUAAUUCAACUUCUGUGCAAUUGUGACUGUGGUGUUAAUCAGUUUGUAUGGAGUCUGAGACAUCAGCUAGAUGCAUGGUUAGAAGUCUGGGAAGCUUGUUGUCCUAACCAGAGAAUAUAUCUCUAGGUCACAAUCAGACUUAAUUUCCAAAGUAAUGAUGGUACCUCAAGAAUUAACCCCCCAAAAAUUAUAAUUUAGAUUGUACUGUAUUUUAUACACGAACACACACACACAGACACACAGUGCUACCGAUGGGUAGGGGACAAAGCACAUGAUCCGAAAACAAAAGGAAACAAAAUGUGUAGCCUAAUGAAAUCAACAUGACCUCCAUUUCUCCUGUCACUCACUCUGACAUCUCCGCUGGAGUCCUGAAUGCUGGGUAGCUAGCUGGGAUAGUAGUGGAGGUCCCGGAGUUUCCCCUGUCUGUCUCUGUGUGAUCAUGCAUGUUUUUACUGCAGUGUUCCUCUGUGACGCAUGGCUCUAACCAGGCCCUCUCGCACCGGACACCCGAAAUGCUUGCACUGCACUGUGUCUCUAAGAAUGAGCUGUAAUCAAUAUUGUAUUUUGAAAUAAAAAUGAGUACAUAAAUAUUA